AACGCGAAGAACCUUACCAAGGCUUGACAUCCUAGGAACCGACUGGAAACAGCUGGGUGCCUUCGGGAGCCUAGUGACAGGUGUUGCAUGGCCGUCGUCAGCUCGUGUCGUGAGAUGUUGGGUUAAGUCCCGCAACGAGCGCAACCCUUGUCGUCUGUUGUAUAUUUCAGACGAGACUGCCCGGGCCAACCGGGAGGAAGGUGGGGAUGACGUCAGGUCAGCAUGACCCUUACGCCUUGGGCCACUCACGUGCUACAAUGGCCGGCACAACGCGUCUUGCCAACCCGCGAGGGGGAGCUAAUCGCAUCAAAACCGGUCCCAGUUCGGAUUGAAGGCUGCAACUCGCCUUCAUGAAGCCGGAAUCGCUAGUAAACGUGGGUCAGCAUACCACGUUGAAUACGUUCCCGGGCCUUGUACACACCGUAGUAC
rnacentral:rRNA from 1 species